GGAGAGAUGCCGGAGUGGUCGAUCGGGGGCGACUCGAAAUCGUCUAAAGCUUGAGAAAGCUUUCAAGGGUUCGAAUCCCUUUCUCUCCGCCA
rnacentral:tRNA from 1 species